UACGUAGGGUGCGCGAGUUAAUCGGAAUUACUGGGCGUAAAGCGUGCGCAGGCGGUUUUGUAAGACAGGCGUGAAAUCCCCGGGCUCAACCUGGGAAUGGCGCUUGUGACUGCAAGGCUGGAGUGCGGCAGAGGGGGAUGGAAUUCCGCGUGUAGCAGUGAAAUGCGUAGAUAUGCGGAGGAACACCGAUGGCGAAGGCAAUCCCCUGGGCCUGCACUGACGAUCAUGUACGAAAGCGUGGGGAGCAAACAGG
rnacentral:rRNA from 1 species